AAAAAAAAAAAAAAAAGAAGAAAAAAAGAAGAGGAAACCGAUUAAGAGGGAGAGAAAGGAAACCAAGAGAGGGGAGGAGAUCGAGGAGGAGGGUGAGGCUGCACCGAAAAGCCUGGUUGCCGUUUCGGUAGCGACGACAACAACAUCAUCACAGGUAGAGUCACCUAUUCAAUGUGAGGCAAAAUUAAUUCAUGAUGCAACCAAUAUUGGGUCAAGUUACAAAAAUGUAAAAAUUUGUGAAUUGCAAGAUAAAUCUCAACAUGCGAUAGAGAUUUUAAGCUCAAAAUAAAAUGUGAGUAUGUUUCAAUAGAAAAUAUUUUGAAAAUAAGAUCACUUGAUGUACUCAUAAUUGGUUCUUGACUUUUGCAGCGUGAUUGUUCAAAGUUUUCUUGCUUUUUUGAAAUUUACGCAAAAGUAUUUUUAUAGUACAUGAAAUGAUACAAUUAUUUUUUUUUGACAGAUGCAGGAAAUGUUAUGCACAACUUGUACAAUUUUGUACUAUCUAGAACAACCAAUAUGAAUUUUGAAAUUGAUACUUGUCUUUUUCUCCUUUUCUGUUUAACUAUGUAGGAGAUUGAUAUUUUCAUCAUAGUGUUGAUUGGAACAUCAGGUAAUCUUGAUAAUACACUUAAAUAUGUAGUAGAUUGUUCAGAUGA